rnacentral:rRNA from 1 species
GACGAACGCUGGCGGCGUGCUUAACACAUGCAAGUCGAACGAAGUGGCGAACGGGUGAGUAACGCGUAAUCAACCUGCUCUUCAGAGGGGGACAACAGUUGGAAACGACUGCUAAUACCGCAUACUGAAGGAGGGGAUUGCGUCGGAUUAGCUAGUUGGAGGGGUAACGGCCCACCAAGGCGAUGAUCAGUAGCCGGUCUGGGAGGGUGAACGGCCAAAUUGGGACUGGAGAACGGGCCAGGCUCCUACGGGGAGCAGCCGUGGGGGAUCUUCCGCAAUGGGCGGAAGGCUGGCGGAGCAACGCCGCGGGAGGGAUGGCGGCCUUCGGGUUGUAAAGCUCUGUUAAUCGGGACGCGGUACCGGAAUAGAAAGCCACGGCUAACUACGUGCCAGCAGCCGCGGUAAUAC